ensembl:lncRNA
GACAUCCUCCUCACUGAAGUCCCACCUAGUAUAACAUUUCCUAAGCACCCCCAGGCCAGCCCGCUCACCCCCUCCUCCGGCUUCAACAGAACUCAGGACAAGCAUCCAGGGAACAGGGCAGGAGGAGCAGGUCGUGAUGGAAAGGGAACACUUACCAGCCUGGAGGAGGAGACCCCCAGAGCCCCAGUGAACAGAGCUGAGCCCAGAAAUAAGCCUGCUCUGGGGUGUACAGUCUGACGGUCCACAUACAGACUCAGCAGUGAACACUUCCUGAUUUAUGAUGUCCACAGACGCGACUCGGUACCUGCUGUAAGUUGUGACACCAAACUCUAAGACGGAGAAGAACCAGUCCUCUGCCUUUGAGAAGCUUACCGUCUAACUUAUUAGCCAAACAAACCAUACGCAUCAACAGGAGCAACAUGUGUCAUGUUUCAAUCUUCUCACUUCCCCAUAUGACCAAA